UUGUUUAUUUAAAUGAACCUAAAAACGUUCUUUAAAAGAUACCGUGUCGUUAAAGAUCAUCUGCCAGGAGAGACACUUUUAAGUGUCUGCGUUAAGUGCUUCAAUUUCAGACUUUUUAGGGUCCUGAAAAAGAAAUCUACCAUUUCAGAAGUGCUAAACGGUCAAAGAGUGCCGAGGGGGAACAAAAGGUAAGGGCAAGGCCCUUUAAUUGAGUUCAACAUCAUUUCCUGUUCCUGUCCAAGUAGUAAAAUGGGGGCGAAACUGAAAGGGUGUGGGAUUGUGAUGACGUUUGUUUUACGUAACACUGUUGGGAGGUGUCUGCAAGCACACUGUAAAUACUGAUAAAAGAGCACGUUUUCACAUUUAAAGGAGAACAGCUCACCACUACGCACACCAUUUACAUCCAGAUUACAUGCAAGGGCUCUAUGCGCUGCACUGGGGGUUCGUAUGCGAGCGUGUGUGUGCAUGCGUGAGUGUAAGAAUGCUAAUUUCCUGAGUUUAAGCACACCCAUCAUCAUGGGGAAUUCAUUCGAGACAGGAAACAGCAACGAUUUUCCCUUCGUGGCAAAAAAGGUGCUUGAUCAAACCCCAGAGAAAAGAAAGAAAAGAAAAACGAGUCAACGGAAAAAGCCAUCUAAAGUUCUACCUGUACAAUAUUACCGAGACGGUCUCCAUGCGCCGUACUAUUUACAAUACGCUUUCUGCCGAGCGAGCACUUCUCGAAAAAAAACAUCCAAUGGUACAGUAUUGCUGACGCAAAAGGUGGCCGAAACCGCAAUUCGAAUCGUUCGUCUUUCCGUCGUACUUUCUUUCGUAUCAGUGUUGUGGAAGGCAAAGGAGGAAUGUUUUUAGAUACCACCAUCUGUACAAAUUAAGUGUUGCGGUACACAGACACUACAAACGUAUGAUGCAGAAGACAUUUUUGCAUAUGGACAUUUACAGUCUAGCUGCUGUAGAAAAAAAAAAUCUGUAUUUUUUUUUCAUGAGUUAUACUGAACAUUCAGAAUAUUUCCUGAGUUUGAAUUUACUGUGACAAGGGCCACAAAGAGAAAGAGACGAGAGAAGGAGUGAUAGAGGUUUAGGGGUAGAGGGCAGAAAUAGGGAACGGAGGUGGGAGAGAGAGAGAGAGAGAGAGAGAGAGAGCAAAAUGCUGCUGCUAGGUCCAUAGAGGUCUGAAUUUGAGAUGUGGUCAGAGCCCAUCUCAUCUGAAUGGACUGUAAUUGGAAACAGACAGUGUUGCACUGUCAUGGAAAGGUGUAGCACCAUCGUGAAGUUCUGUGAGAAGGUCUCAGCCACUCUGCCAUGGCUGAAUGAGAGAAAACCUGGAGAACAGUAUUGCUGCUGUUAAGACAACUGUAGUGUCAACCUUUGUUUAAAAAAAAGAGACAAUUACAAAGACAUAAAUAUGUAUAUAAAAUAAUCAAAAACACUGGCAGAGGCUGGCCAUCUCAACAGCCCUCGAGUUUUGAGGGGUUGUCAGAAGACGUAACUAAAUUAAAUAAUAAAAAAAACAAA